GGAGCAGCAGCUUCAUCAGUGUUUCUCCCUUCAGCUGGUCAGAGGGCUCAGUGUGGUUCUGCUGAUGUUUACCUGAGCAGAUGUCAGACCCGAUGCUCCCUACGGAGUUUGCAUCACGUGACCAGUUAAGGCGUUCCUGCUCAGGUGAGAAGGGCCUCUGGAGGGACGGCAGGGAGCCUCUGUGGGUGUGGUGGGGCUCCUUUGGGAGUGCAGGGGCCUCUGCUGAUUGUGUCACGGGUCUCUGAAAUGUAUAGGGGCCCCCAAACUACGACAGGAGGCCCUGCAGACAACUGGAGAUAGGCACCAGCACCCCCUCGCCACCCCAGCAGGGAUAAGCGUGAAAGAAAAUGGAAGGAUGGAUGAAGAUGGUUUGAAGUGCUUGACUUCCAUUAACUUCAACGCUCUUUGGGUAAGAAUGAGAACAUGCUGCACUGAUUUUCCAGAUUGUACUCAGUUAUGGUGCAGAGGGGCCACCAGUUGAAAUCCCAACCUCCCGGUGGCCUUCCGCCUCCAGCUCCCUCAUUCCAUGAAGAUCCAUACUACCUUUCAUGUUCUUCAGACUCCUGCUUGAUUCUACCAUUUGACUGAACCUGGAUCUGCUUCCUGACACCGACAUCGUCCUUCUGUACCUCUUCAAAUUUCUGAUCUUCUCGCUUGGACUCCUGUGAACCUCUUUGACACUGGCUUUGGCUCCUACUUCUGGAUAGUCCUACCUUCCUUCGACUGCUUGGAUCUGUUUGUUAUCAUCUGGGACUCUCUGGGAAGUGUCUGCCAUGUGAUGUUGUCAGCCAGUCAGGCUAGAAUCUACCUCUUCCUAUGGAUACAGAGUUAACUUUAAGACCAGAGGUUCCUACUUUAGACGUCCCUGCAGUUACAACUGAUCCUUCGUUUUAUAAUAAAUGCUUUUGAGAAAUAAGUGUGUCUUUCUGCCUUGAAUUCUGCAUUCUCUGUUCUGGGUUUUGACAACUGUAUGCUAAUUUGAUCUCCAAAUGGAAGAGCGAGCUCUGCAGACAGAAAAUAACAU